UACGUAGGGUGCGAGCGUUAAUCGGAAUUACUGGGCGUAAAGCGUGCGCAGGCAGUUUUGUAAGCCAGAUGUGAAAUCCCCGGGCUUAACCUGGGAAUGGCAUUUGGGACUGCAAGGCUGGAGUGUGGCAGAGGAGACUGGAAUUCCUGGUGUAGCAGUGAAAUGCGUAGAUAUCAGGAGGAAUACCGAUGGCGAAGGCAGGUCUCUGGGCUGACACUGACGCUCAUGCACGAAAGCGUGGGGAGCAAACAGG
rnacentral:rRNA from 1 species